rnacentral:rRNA from 1 species
CCUACGGGUGGCAGCAGUAGGGAAUUUUGCGCAAUGGGGGAAACCCUGACGCAGCAACGCCGCGUGAUCGAUGAAGCCUUUCGGGGUGUAAAGAUCUGUCAGUGGGGACGAAAACUGACGGUACCCACAGAGGAAGCACCGGCUAACUCCGUGCCAGCAGCCGCGGUAAUACGGGGGGUGCAAGCGUUGUCCGGAAUCAUUGGGCGUAAAGGGUUCGUAGGGGGCAGGGUAAGUCUGGUGUGAAAGCCCAAAGCUCAACCUUGGUACUGCACUGGAAACUGUCGAGCUGGAGUGCGGGAGAGGUAAGGGGAAUUCCUGGUGUAGCGGUGAAAUGCGUAGAUAUUAGGAGGAACACCAGUGGCGAAGGCGCUUUACUGGACCGUAAUUGACGUUGAGGAACGAAAGCGGGGGGAGCAAACAGGAUUAGAUACCCCGGUAGUC